UUCGACGACAGCGUUAGUUACGUUUGACGACUCGUUACUUUCUAACGUUGUGUGCAACACUUUCUUUCGUUGUCGCAUUUACAUCCGCGGAUUCGGGAACUCCUACUAUUUACCCUCCCAAACGUGUUUACACUUGUCUUCUUUGAACUGUGUCGCGUCGACGACAGAGUCAACAUCAGAAUUUUACACAAUCCAAGACGUUAAUUUAUGUUAUGUACACGAUGAUCGCUGCAACAGUACAAGAAUGUUUGAGUUCGCAAGAGGCUCGGAACGGAACUAGAGCGUUAAAGGAUCACGACGUGUUGGCAUGUACGAUUAACGUAGCGCAAAUUCGCCAAGAACGUUAAAAAAAAAACGUCGGGAUGUGACAAUACGUUGGAUUCGAGAAAUCUAAGUUACCAUUUAGAUUACUAAGUUACUAAGUUACCUGCUAAGUUACUAACAACGUUCCUUUCUAGCGAUAAUAAUCUCACCUGCGGGAAGUAUACGGAGAAAGGAGAUUUGCUUAAAAGGACUUAGGGACGGUUAGAGCAUCCGGUCUUAAGGUCGAGGUAACGCGCCCUCAAAUCCCUCACCCUUUCUGGACCGUCUCCCAUUGUCGAAGAGCCUUUCCGGCCGGUUCUGCUGAUUAUAAUACCGGGGAGGAGCGCGGGGUGAUUCUUAACGUCCUUGAAGGGGACGCGGAGGAACGCCACUUUCUGUUCGCGACGCGACAAUGUUCGCGGAGCAGCGCUUGUAUAUGCUCGUGUACGCACAUGCACGCUCGCUCCUUCGGUGGCGUCGCAACCUCGCGGUAUUUCGUCACGGUAUCAGCCAUGGUAGACGGAGUAUCGAAUAUCUGGAACGAGUCGGGGGGAGCGACGGAGGAGGGAAGCGUGGAAGGUGCGAGGUCUCCUCGUGGGUACGCGGAGAACGUCGACUGCGCUAAGCCGCUUCAACAAUGAAGCAGGUGUCCGUUUUACGUAAGUCACGCUUGUGUUCUCUCCUCCUCGUUCCCUUUGCACCGAUGAAUCGUCUGUCGUGUUACCUUCUCUUUUCUUCUCUUCGUCCUCCAGUCCAUUCGCGUCUUGGAGGUAGCCGCGGAGUUAUUCUAUUAUUCCUGGCGAUUCCCGCGGGGAUUGGAGAUCUAUUCUUUUCCGAAGAACUUCCCAAGAACUGGUGCAAUCAGUUAGAGUGAAACGAUCUAUACUUGGCUCUGUCAAAUUUGUUGCAUCAGUGUGCACCAGUUGUAGGCAGCUCUUCGAAGAAGAGAAGAACAAUCCUUGGGUCUAGGGAUUUAUGCAUCCUCGUAAAGCAAGUCGUUCGAAUUAAAUCGACCGCGUCCUAAGUGAGCGACGAGUGAGCGUUGAGGAGGCGGGCGUGGCGUGGGAGAGGAAGCGCGAAGCGUUUCAUCGGCGUUUUCUCACUGUGCCAACGUUGCGUGAUGGUUCGCGCGGUGAUUAAUUUGAUCGUUGAUGAAUGACCAAGAUUCUCUCUGAUGCGUGGGGUCGAGAUUAUGAAAAUUAGCUGUUAAUCCAUAAGUGCGCUAAUGACUAAUCAACAUCCAACAGUUUAUCAUUUUCUGGGUCUUCUUUGGGUCACAGUGUCUCACUGUGACCCAACUAGCAUUCUACCUAUCUUUUUUUCAUUUAUAGUGAGUUUAAAUUUCUACUGCCCACUGUGAUUCUGAGGUCACACAAUACAGUUUCAUCAUUAUUUAUCAUCAAUAUGAAUGUUGUUCCUGUGACUGAUGUGAUGUGAAAGUCACAAUAUGGCUGCCUUCUUUCAUAUGUUAACAGUGAUAGUAACUGUCCAACGUGACCUCAGAGUCACAUAAUCUAUUUAAAUAAAAAAUUAGAAAAAUAAAAUUUCUUAUACGCGUUGAGUUGUAUGUACUUUAGUUUUAAACAUCCUAUAUGAAAGAAUUUUUAAACAUGAGAAAUUAGAUAGUUAAGGAUUAACUAACUUAUAUAGCCGAUAUAGUCGAUUAUAUUAUUACUAUAUAGUUCCUCAUAAACAUAAAGAGU